CACGUAGGGUGCGAGCGUUGUCCGGAAUUAUUGGGCGUAAAGAGCUCGUAGGCGGUGUGUCGCGUCGGCCGUGAAAACCUGCAGCUUAACUGUGGCUUGCGGUCGAUACGGGCAUCACUGGAGUUCGGCAGGGGAGACUGGAAUUCCUGGUGUAGCGGUGAAAUGCGCAGAUAUCAGGAGGAACACCGAUGGCGAAGGCAGGUCUCUGGGCCAUAACUGACGCUGAGAAGCGAAAGCAUGGGGAGCGAACAGG
rnacentral:rRNA from 1 species